AGAGAGAUGGCUCAGUGGUUAAGAGCACAGAUUGGUGUUCCCAAGGACCCGGGUUCAAUUCCCGGGCCAUCUG
rnacentral:tRNA from 1 species